GAACGAGAUGGAUUCCGCAUCCUGUCUGUGUGUCUGUGUGGAAGGUCGUAGCACAUGCUCAGUUGUGUCUGGUAGAAACGGGAGCUCUCGGUGGGGAUACGCUGUGAGGUCACAGCACCAGCUCAGUGGAAGCCCCUCUCUGAGAGCAAGCGCUUUGCGCCGUCCUCCAUUUUGAGCACCUGACAAUAGGUGGGAAGGGGAGAGGGAGAGUGAGUCGAUUCACAACGACCACUUCAAUUCUAGACAAACUGUCAACAAACGAGCCUUAGAGAUUGGUGUCAGAAAUGGACGACAUGUUUGCUACUCGGAGGAGAAAUGAGACACAGAAGCAAGGCUGGUGCUGACUCCAUUUUGCAGUAGCCCACUCUGUCUGUUCUCGUGUUUACAAUCGAGCCGACAUGGCAGCCCUGAGACGCUUUGUGUAGACACACACACUCUCGCUCCAGCUGAUACAUGUGAUCAUGUCAAAGAAAUACUUCAUGUUGUAGGUGUUUCAGGAGACUGUGUGGUUGAUUGGAAAAGUAGUUUUUUUUUUCGCACAGUUUUUGUAAUGUUAUGACGGCGUUAUAGUCGUGCGAGGAUUGGACGGAUCUGAUGUUUGGGGCGGGGUUUCCCCUGGUAAAGUUGCACCAUGCUGGAUCAGGACUGUUAUUGUUUUGGUUCAGGAAGUAACAAUACAAAAUAUGCCUGUUUGGUCUUACAUGUGUCAUUUUCUAGACUUGACAUGAAAUAUGUUGGGAGCCAUUCCUGUUGUACAGGACAUGGCUAUCCAAGUUGCACUGACUAUUACUCAUCCGAUACAAAAUAGACACAAGUUUGUGUCCGUCCGAAUACUUAUACUCGCGUACUACGUCCUUAAACUGGAUACAAAUUUCGGCGUUUGAUCAAGUAGAAUUCACUCGUCUUUUCCGACUUAACAGCUGAUAAUCAGAUAGUUAACGCGAUCGCGAACUAGAUGGAGCAUAGCAUUUGGAGUUCUAUUUUCGAAAUUUCACAUACUAGAAAACUGUAUAUUUUUUCGCAUAUUAUUUAGUACGCUAGAAUGGGUAUUCGGACAUAGACUGUUGAUAGAUGCAUAUAAUAUGGCUGCAUGUUCAGGUAUAAUAAUAUGAUAAAAUAUGACUUGAAUAUUACUCAUAACGUGCAUAGAGAAAUGUACCCCAAUCCCUAACAUUUUAUUUUAUAUAUAUAUAUAUAUAUAUAUAUAUAUAUGGGUUUAUUAAUAAACGGGUUCAUAAAAGAA